rfam:Catenibacterium sp. CAG:290 genomic scaffold, scf52
GGACGAAUCACUGGAGAGACUCAUAAUGAGCACCGAAGGAGUAACACUCUCAGGUAAAAGGACAGUGACUUAUAC